rnacentral:tRNA from 1 species
GGAGGGUUGGCUGAGAGGUAAGGCAUCGGCUUGCUACGCCGCAGUCAGGGCAACCUGCGGGGGUUCGAUUCCCUCACCCUCCGCC